GACGAAACGCUGGCGGCGUGGAUUAGGCAUGCAAGUCGAACGGUAUCAUCCUUUCGGGGGUGAGAGAGUGGCGAACUGGUGAGUAACACGUAGGUUAUCUACCCUCAAGACGGGGACAACCCAGGGAAACUUGGGCUAAUACCGGAUGUGAGCAACUUUUAGUUGUUUGAAAGGUGGCGUAAGCUGUCGCUUGGGGAUGAGCCUGCGUCCUAUUAGUUAGUUGGGUGAGGUAACGGCUCACCUAGGCAAUGAUAGGUAGGCGGCCUUAACGGGUGGUCGCCCACACUGGGAUUGAGAUACGGCCCAGACUCCUACGGGAGGCAGCAGUCGAGAAUAGUCUACAAUGGUCGGAAGACUUGAUAGUGCGACGCCGCGUGAACGAUGAAUCCCUUCGGGGUGUAAAGUUCUUUUAUAUGUGAGCAGUGCUUCUUAUAUUAACAGUAUGGGGAGAGAGAUAUUAGCAUAUGAAUAAGCAACGGCUUAACUCCGUGCCCAGCAGCCGCGGUAAUCUCG
rnacentral:rRNA from 1 species